UGGGGAGCUUGGAAGCAGGGGAAAUGGCACCUCAAGGGGUUCAGGUCUCUAUGAUCAAUAACCACAAUUUUGAUCUGAAUGAGCUGCCGACUGAGCAUGAGUAGCUCAAGAAGGAGUAGUCACCUCUGGAGCAAGAGUAUCCGCCUAUGGCACAACAUGAGAUUUAAUAUUCACAAUGGUUGGAGGCUACUCAAAUCCCUCUUGUGUGAGCAAAGUUAACUCUUGGCCCAAAGUGUAGCCCUGUCAGAAAUUAUCGAAACAAUAUCCUUAUCCCAAGGACGAUUGUAAAGCUUAUGUGGAACUUUUGAAUUUCUCACUUCCUAUUUUUUGUUGAUUGACUGACGCUAUUGCUAAACUUGAGGGAAGGACCUUGUAUACUGCUUCAUGAUCAACGUGUCAACUGGAAAUGGCUUUUCUAUUCAUUUCCCAUGAUGGUUUUGAUAUGUGGAUUGUUUGAACAAGCAGGUGUUCAUUCGGUAAAGCUUUGUGAAACAUCAACGGUGGAGCUAGGUCUCUGGUCAUGUGAAAUGAUAGUAGGUCAAGAAGUGUGUUGGAUCAUGAGAUAACAUAUUUUCUAAGUUGUUAAUCAUGUGUGUUAACACCAUGGGUAGUAUGAGAGAAGGUCAACAUGCAUGUUUGGGUCUGAAAUGACCUCAUGACCAAAAAAGGGAGAGAAACAUGGCUAAUAGGAAUACGAACGAUAUGGAAGUUACUUGUUGCAUGGAUGUUAACUGUGGUUAUGAAGCCACACAAGAUGUCAGAGGACCCGCAUCCUUACAUAUCAAGGUUGACUUCACAUGCCAACUGGAUUUCGUCUAAAUUAUUGUAUAUGUAUGUAUGUUAUAUCUUGAAAUCUUACCAAACAAAAAACACCAAAAAAUACACUAUUUACUUCUCUUUGAUGCAUACUCUAGUUGGAGGGUAAUCAAAAGCUUAUGUGGAUAUUUGUCCAUAAUAGAAUAUACAAUGGUCUAGUGAGGCAAGGUGUAAAUGGACAGGACAAUAGUCGAACAUGAAAACAUCCAACAUUGUGUUAUAGUUGCAUCAAGUUGUCUAGUGAGUUAAUAUGGAAAUGGAGGAGGCUCAUAGGGCAACACGAGAACACCCAACAUGUAGCUCUACUUACUUCCUAUUGGUACGAAGAGACCGAGACUAGUGAACGGUUAACCAUAACACAUGGACAAGAUAUCUCAUACAAGAUGAAAAUGGAGUGAGUCUUGUAUGAAAAUGAUAACAAAGUAUGAGUGUGCAUAGCAUGCCAUCCCACAUACAUCAACUAUCCUACAUGUGAAUCAAAUCCACAUCCUACAUGGGCAUUGGGCUUUAGUUGGACUACCACUUUAUGGACAAGCCAUGUGCUCCAUGUAGUCUAUAUUGCAAAGGCGGGAGGACAGGGAGCAAAUAGUUUUCGAUGGCUGGACAUUGAAGUUAUUUGUCAAGAAAUUUGUUUCCUGACAUGGUUUGUUUAUUUCAUUGUUUAGUAUUCGAUAUCGGUUCAAUGCUCUAGUAUGUAACCUUCUUCUCACAUUUUGGGUCUAGCUCUUGGUGUUCAUGAGUUCAUUACUUAUGUUAACUAUUAUUGUUGUGCCUACUUGUUCAUAAGAGACUAUAAAAAUAACUAAGAUACUCCCGUAUUUAUAUUAAUAUAGUUGGCACUAAGGUAAUCAUCAACAUUGAAUAUUGCUCAUAUUUGUCAAAUAGGAGGUCAAGCUGGAUCUGUCUGGCGCAUCAUCUAUGGUCACAUAUGGUGUAUUGUCUAUUCUAAACCCAAUGAGUAUUGCAGAAUGACAUGUGCCUGCGGGGAGGAAUGAGUCACUGUUUUGGGUCAAGGGGUGAUGCCAUGCCUCAUAAUUGACAAUAAAAAAUUAACCACCUACAUAAAAAGUCUAACCCAAGACAGGGAAUAUGCGCCAUUGCAAUUUUACUGCACAAAGUCAUCGGUAUUUUGCAAUUGAAUGUUCCCCAUGUUGUGACUGAGAACACAAAACACAAAACACCCCACAAAACACUAUUCACUUCUCCUCGAUGCAUAUUCUAGUGGAAGGGUAGUCAUAACCAUAUGGGAAUAUUUUACCACAAUAGAAUCUAUAAUGGUCUAGUGAGGCAAGGUGUAAAUGGAGAGGAUAAUAGGCGAACAUGGAAACAACCAACAUUGUGUUGUACUUUCAUCUAGUUGUAUAGUGAGAUAAUAUGGAAACGGAGGAGGCUCAUAGGGCAACAUGAGAACGCCCAACAUGUUGCUCUACUUACUUCCUAUUGUUACCAAGGGACUGAGACUCGAGCAUGGUUAAUCAUAACACAUGGAAAAGAUCUCUCAUACUAGUUGAUAAUAGAAUGAAUCUUGUAUGAUAAUGCUAACAAAGUAUGAGUGUAGAUAACAUGCCAUCUCCUCCCUUUCUUGUUGUAUUUUCCUUCACCAACCCCCAUAGUACCCUGAUCAACACUAUUAAUUCGAUAUGCUUCACAUCUGAGUUAGAAUUGUGAUUGGGAAUAGUUGUAUCAUUAUCUAAGUAGACUUAUUUAAGGGGAAAUAACGGACAUGUCUUAUCUAUUAUAGCCACAUUCCGGAUAGGAAUAAAAAAAGUUGACAUAACAAUAUAAUUUGUUGAGAUUUGAAUCGAAAAUUCAACAUACAUCAACUAUGCUACAUGUAAAUCAAAUCCUCAUCCUACAUCGGCAUUCGGCUUUAUUUGGACUACCACUUUAUGGACAAGCCGUGUGGUCCAUGUGGUCUACGUCACAACGGCCAGAGGACAAGGAGAAAAUAGUUGUCGAUGAUUGGUGAUUGAAGUUAUUUGUCAAGAAAUUUUUUCCCCAACAUGGUUCAUUUAAUUCAUUAUUUAGUAUUUGAUAUAGGUUCUAUGCUCUAAUGUGUAACCUUCUUCUCACGAUUUGGGUCUAGCUGACAGUGGUCAUGAGUUCAUUACUUAUGUUAACUACUAUUGUUGUGUCCACUUGUUCGCAAGAGACUAUAAAGUUAACUUAUAUCCUCCCGUAUUUAUAUUAAUAUAGUUGGUGGUUAGGUAAUCCUUGACCUGGAAUAUUACUCACAUUUUUCAAAUAGGAGGCCAAGCUGGAACUGUCUAGUGCAUCAUCUAUGGUCACAUAUGGUGUAUUGCCUAUUCUAAACCCAAUGAGUACUACAUUAUGGCAUGUGCCUGCAAGGAGGAAUGAGUUACUCUUUUAUGUCAAGGGGAGCGGCAUGCCUAAUAAUUGUCAAUGAAAAAUUAAUAGUCUACAUCAAAAGUCUAACCCAAGAAAGUGAAUAUGUGCCAUUGUAAUUUUACAACACUAAGGGCCUGUUCUGAUCUUGUCCAGCUCCACGCUUCACAAAUUCCUGGAGCAGAUACGAGCCGAAUGAAAUAGCAGCGAGAAGCUAGCUCCAGGAAGCUAGGAUCGACUGCAGUGCAAAAUCAUGAAGCAGACUCGGCCCAGCUCCACCGAUCUGGAAAGCUGAAGUUAGCCCAUAUUACAAGUGAACUGCCAUAGCCAAAUCAUACAAGCCGAACCGGUACGCUCGAUCAGUUUGAUUGCUCCUCGUUCCCUCGCUCGUGCUCCCUCACUGCUCCUCUACAAGGCCGAUUUGGGUUGCCUCCAGUCAGCCCAACUAGCUCGAACAAGCCACAACCCUUCUAGUUGGGUUGCAGUGCCGCGAGAAGCUACAAACCGAGCAUAACAGAUUUUUCAUCGCUGCUUGGAGUGAGAAGCUACUCUGAAAAGUUGAAUUUCUUAAGUUUUGGGAAGCUAGAGGAGAUCAUAACAGGCCCUAAGUCAUCGGUAUUUCAUAAUUGAAUAUUCUCCAUGUCGUGACUUUUGAUGGUGUAAACCCAAAUAAUCGCCAUUGUGAAAUUAAAUUCCUCUCGUGAGUCGAACCCACAUCCAUAAAGAUGUGCCACUAAAAUCCACCUCCAGGCUAUCUUGGAGUCCUUAAUAUAAUCAAGUGUGCCCAAUAUGGUGACUUAAUAUGUAUUUAUUGACCCUACGAAGCUAAUCACCUCCAUCAAGACCCAUUCCUGGUUCUCCUAUAACUAGAUUCCCCGAAACCACGAGAAUCCUUAGAAUGGGAUUACAACUUAGCACCUUUCGUUUUCACAUAGUAAGAAGAGUUGCUCCUUGGAUAGCACGGUACGAUCAAAGGUGCAACCUGUGUUUCGGAGGGAGUUAUUGUCUCGAAACUUUGUUCUCAGCUAUUCCGAUUCCAUCAAACGGAGGCCAUUGGGUCAAUGCUGUAGUGCACGCCCUGUAGUUUUCAAGUGGGGUGAGACAACUUUAGAUAGGAACCUAUUUUCAUUCUGACCAGCUCCCUGAAAACAAUGUUCGACUUCAUGUGUAGUCGGUGUAGAUGUGUCAUUGCAAUGCCACCACUAGGAUAUCAACAAGUCAUAUGUAUUACAUGACAACAUAUGCCACCAUAUGGUGACUUGAUAAAUUAAAUGGAUUUCACCAAGCUUUCGUGUUACAAUUAUAGUGAAGAUAGUGACUCACAUGUCAGCCUCCCUGAUGGGAAGCAAAAUCACUCUGACUUUGGCAACCUAAUUUUUGGUGGAUUCAAGCAAACAUGUUGGAUUUGUAUUUUAUUUAUUUCAACAUAUAUAAUUCAUAUAAAUAAAUCAAUUCAUAAUAGGUGUCUUAGAGACACCCAUGUCAAUAAUGUGAAAUUAUGGGAAAUCUUAUUGUGUGCAUCAACAUAAGCCAAAACUCGUGGCUUAAGAGAUAUGUGUACAAUCUUCCAAUGGUUAUUCCCCCUACUAAAUUCAUGAUGUUAACUAGUUCCCAGAAGUUGAGAAAGAAGUUUAGUCAUGGGAUCAAUGUCCAGUGCAUCAUAUUUCCAGUUCCCAAAAAAAUUUGUUAUGGAAGUUGAGAAAGAAGUUUGGGCAACAUAUUUCCAGACACCUGUCAUGUCUAGGAUCUUCUCAAGCCUAGGUAAGCUUAGUCAUGGGAUCAAUGCAGGCUAUUAGUACAUUGACCUGGUUCUUAAUUCAAGUCCUCCUUGCUUGAUACAAUAUUGAAUGGAAAGUACAUAAUCAAUUUACUUAAGUGGGUGAACAAUGUUGGCUAGUAUAUUUCAACACUCACCUCACAUGCAUCUUUUAGAGGCAUAUAAUGCAUCGUGAUGGAAACAUUUUUUCUAUAGACUAAAUUCCAAUGGAAAAUUUUAAUUAAUUUAAUUAGUAGCAAUCUCGUAUCGCAAGGAUAUAUGGCAAAUGAAAAUGAGGGCUCAAAUGCUACUUGUUGGCACACAAAAGUCAAGUUGUCUUUUUCCUCCCAUGUUGAUCCUCCGUGGUUCGACAUUGGGCAUUACAAAGAGAUCAAGUUAUCUUUACACACCGCUAGAGCUACCAGACCCUGGAUGUUCCAUCAUGAAUGUCCAUAUGGUGCAAUGAGUGAUAGCGAGGUAUAUUAGAACAUAUAGUUUACACCGUUAAAGUAAUUAAAUGGGCUAUUUUUCCUACUAUGAAAAAUAGUAUUUUAAGAGAAAACUAUAUAAGAGUUUGUGAUCUUUGUAUGUAAAAGCAUUAUUUGCCUUUGCUUGGUGUUCACGCAGUUUGAUUUAUGGCAAAAAUGGAAAAUCAUGGGACAAUAAUUGUUGAUAUUUUUUGCCGGAAAGCCAGAUCUUUUCACUUUUCAGAUCACACAAAGUAUUGUUUUUCUUAUAGGGGUGAUAUACAGUGUUCUAAAUCUGCACUUGUGAUUCGUUGUCCAUUUAAAUCUGGUUUCUUCCACAGAUUAUGUUGGUUUGUUGUUGUAUUUAUCUCAGCACUAAAGUAUACUGAUGUUAGCUAAGUCCAAUCAAAGGCCCGUGUUUUUAUCAUGUUAUACAAAUUAGUAAGCUAAGAUCUUACCAAACUCAAGUUACAUAAGCCCAGACUACGUGAAAUACACAUCAUGCAGUACACAUGUUCAUCUUAGUGUUAUGUUAUACUUGGCUCCGAGAUAACAAAUGGUAUCAAUUAUUACUAUCUUUUGCAGCUUGUUUCUGCCUGUUCAUCGUAGAAUUAUCUUAUGUGGUCUCCCAAGGUUCAUACAACUUGGAUUUUUCAUACUUUGGUAGUAUUAGUGUUCACUAGGACUAGGUGCCACUCUGCAGAACCUGAGGAUACAGAUGGAGAAAGUAGUCAUGGUUUUUUUUUCAAAAAGUUUGUUCAUAUCUAUAAGAGGUUUAUGAUUUUUCAGUGUAUAGUGUUGUGAAACCUAGAGUGUUUUAUCUCAUUUAACAUUGAACUACGCUUUCAAGGAAAAACCUUCAUUUGACAUCGAACUAUGCAUGCAGGGCAAACACCCCGUGCUUCGGUGCCACCGCGCCGCGAACCCUGGGAGCUUGAACCUGGAUGGGUGUGAACUUCAGAUUGAUGUCAAGGUUAGGGGUCAGUCAUGGAUAGAGAAUAAAGGGGACUUUGCAAAACUGUUAUUAAUAAUAUGGAUGAAACAUUGCCUUGUGGAGAGAAUAAGAUAUUUCCAGAGAUAUUUAUAAAUGGAUGCAUACUUGAAAUAGCAGUACAAAAUAUGAUGCUAACAUUUUAUUUUCAUUGUUGUUCCCAUUAAACUUCUGGUGGUGGCUCCAUUAUUCACAGCCUCGCACAUGAAAAUGUUAUUUCGUUCGGGUAAAUGUUGCGUGUCGUUGCUCCUGUAGUUUUGCGGUUUGCAUCUCCUUGAAACUUGUGAGUUGGAUUUUUCGAAGUUGCAAUGCAAAUUUGCGAUGCAGGGAAGAUAAUAAACAAUGCUUUCUAAGAGCAUUGGAUAUUGGAUGCGACUCAGAAAGAACGGAACGCAUGCAGAUGCAAGAUGCAAGACGUAGUAGGCAGUAGGCACAUGUCCAGGUUUAUUAAGAGCAUCUACACCGGACGCCUCAUAUCUGCCACAAACGCCAGGCCGAGCUUCCCGGUCAUUACUAGGACGCAAAAUUGCCACCCAACAGGAUCUGUCAAACCCGGCCCAAACGUCUAGACAUGACCGCAUUCCCCAUAUCCAGCCCAUAUCUCGGACGGAUAUGUGGAAGCCCAGAGGCGCUCGGACACACCUUCCAGGUAGGAUCCGGCCGAGUGCGGCCCACCCGAUCCCACAUAAAUUGGACCCUAUCCACACUCCGAGCGAAACCCAAGUGGCAUUCAACUCCACUUUACUCCUCGCCAGGCCACUCCCGUCCACCCACAAGCCCCAUUUGCGGAUCUCCCACCAUUUCGAGCCGUUGAACCGGAGAUCGUCCAACGCGGCCCCAAGGAGGAGAUGGUCGACUGCCUUGCGCUUCUCCACUACCGGAGGUGUCCGCCUGGCCGCGGUCGAAAUCCAUCUGGCGGGAAUCCAUUGCGUCUGCCACAAUGGAGCAUGGAUCCUGCCCGAGGGCAGUCGCCGCUGCCUUAGCAGAGGCAGUGCAGUCCGUCUGGCGUCCGAACGCCAUGGAGGAUACGCGACCACUUUGUUGGCGCACUGAGAAAGAGAUGCACACCUGCUUAACGUCUGAUACAAAUAUGGUGUGGCACAUCCACUGUGUUAGGCAGUGGGCACAGGAGCCUGCGGCAGCCCUCGUGCCAGAUGGCAGCGGGGCAGACUCACACUCUUCGAUGCCUCGUAUCGUGCCCGGCAGCCCUUGGCGCCGAAAUCAUGUCGUGUUGGACGCGGCCGGCUCCACCAUCAUGGAUCAACUAUCGACCUCACAUCCACCGAUGACAUGAGGGCAUGGGCUCCGACGAGAAAGAGUAGGCCAUGGGAGAUGGCGCCGACUCGAGUUUCUUUUGCAGGGUCGUGUCCCAUGUCCUACUCUACCUCACCGGAGACUGACCCUCCACUUCGACAGGCUCAGACAGCCAUCGGACAUGGACAGGUUCGGAACGACAAGGACAGUCGCUGGCGCAAAUUUAGACUACAGCCGUCGACGCGAGGUGAGCGCGCCACGAGUUAAUCGCUGAAGAGGUUGGGCCGUUCUGUCGCCGGUGGUCAUACAGUUGCCGACGUAGUCGUCCAUGACCACCAGAUCAACGCCGCCGCCACUGCAAGUCUAGGCAUCUCUAGUGGUUGAUGUCAUUUUAGUGUAUUUUCUUUGUAUUGUGAUGAUUGCAUACUGUGUUGCAUAUUGUGGCGUAUUUUCUUUGUAUUGUGAUGAUUGUAUACUGUACAAUGUAUUGUGGCAUAUUUUUUGUGGUCUAUUUUUGAAAAAGAAACUAUAAAUAGCUAAAAGUGGUGUGCAGAAUAAAUUUGUACCCGCCACUACAAAACAAAUGCCAGUACUGACAUAUAUUUUUGCCCACCAUUAAUAGUAAUGCCCGCCACUGCUACAAGAUCGAGGUCGAUGGCGGGCUGUUUGUAACGCCCGCCACUGUUAUAGUCAUUUGUGGCAGGUGGAGCGCCCACCACUAAUGCCAUGUUGCCAGUGGCAGGCGCCUCUAAGAGCCUUACCCGUCAUUGGUAGGCUUUUGAUGCCACCACUGCUACGCAUUCCUGCGAUAGUGUGCAAUUGCGUAUCUAGUAGAACAUAUAUAACUAUCGUCCCAACAAACAGUUUCGUCCUACCAUGAAGUUAUAGUCGGGUUGAAGACAUUCAUUUAUAAUCGGAAGUGACGUUGCAGUUGCAUAUCAAGUAGGAGAUAUUUAACUACCCUAAUGACAAAACACUUUUGUUCCCUAAAUUACAGUCGCAUUGGAGACAUGCAUUAGCGAAACGACACCACCUGUAGUUGUGUGUUUGGAGUUAGACAUGCAACUAGCUCCACAAUAAUAAUCUGAAUUUUAAGUUUUAAUGAAUUUUAAAUUAGAGAAAAAAGAAAAGAUGAAGAUAUAAAUGCAGAAAUAGAGAAAACAAACAAUAGGAAAAAUCCUAAAAAAGGCAAAAACAAAGAAAGGAAAAACCUGUUUGAAGUUUCUAGAAGCUUCAUAUAACCAGUAGAAAGAGUCCUACAUGGGGCGGCCCACUCACACAUGUAAAAAGAGGCGGGCGAGGCGUAUGUCGACUAGCUCAGAGUUGGGGAAUCCUAUUCCGUGCAUAGUCGCUACGUAGCGACCAAAGGCGUACCCCUCGGGUUUGUGGUCCUCUUCGGGUCGGUCCAUUCCAGGUUCUUCCGCAUACUGGUGCUUAGGAAGGUUCUAGACCUUUUUUUCUAUUUUCUUUGUUUUCUUCUAGUUUUUUCUUUCUUUUAUAUUUUAGUUAUUACUUCUUAUUUUCUUUUAUUUUAAAUUUUCCGUUUUGGUAUUGCAAACAUAUUUUCAAAUUCAUAAAUGUUUAUUGAAAUCGCUAACAGUUUUUGAGUUGACAAACAUAUAUCUGAAAUAAUGAACAUUUUCUAAUUCGACAAUACAUUUUGAAAUCACAAAAUAACAAAAAAAUAACUUUUGAGGACAUUUUCAAAAAAUUCUGAACAUGUUCGUCAAUCGGCCGACAUUUUUUGAAUCGAUGAACAUUUCUAUGAAUUGACAUGAUUUUUUUGAAUCGAUGACCAUUUUUUGAAUCAAUGAAUAUUUUUUACAUGAAUGAACAUUUUUUGAAAUUCACAAUAAAAAAAUUUGUGAACAUUUAAAAAACUUGUUGAAUAUUGCUUGUAUCUCAACUUCCGUCCUGAUUAAUUAAAUAAAGUGGUGAUACCCAUCAAAAGAAAAUAGCUACGGUUGGCACAAAAUUUACUGCAAAUUAAUCAUGUGAUGAAAGACUUAGACGUGACAUAGUUUUUAUGUACCCUGAUAAGUGCCACACGUCAGGGUCGUUCUCAUGACAACUUUGAACAUUUUUUAUGACAAGUUUAGUUGCACGAGGAUGGCAAAUUUAAUUGACAAGCAUGAAAACUUUCGUGCUUUAUUUUAUUUUAAUAGAAACUUGUCGUGUGUCAUUGAAAUUUGCCAUCCUUGGAUGACAAGAAUUGCCAUAAAAAAAGUCAGGCCCAAAGUGCAAAGCACCUGACGUGUAAGACCUAUCAUUUGGAUACUUUAUAUCUAAGAAUUACCAUAAAAAAAGUCAGUCCCAAAGUCUUCAUGGUUACCUACGUGGAGCACCUUUUGUUCUAGAUCGCGAACUUCUUCAUGUGCUUGCACCGAAAGGGGUAGGUGAAACGUUUCAUGGAGUGAGGUAGAUCCCAAGAAAUCUGUGACUGAAAUAUCCUCAUUUAUUGCAAAGGAGAAGGCCCACGCGUAUUAUUCCGCCAGUGUAGUGCCUAACCAUAUAUCCUUCCACAUAAGUACCGUGUCUCCAACGUGCACAUUUUCUUUAGAUAUCCCUCUGUAGAUUGGGGUGAGCUUUAGCACAUCCUUCCACCAAAAAUAUCUGCACGGUUCCGACACGUGCGGGAUCUUGUGCAUGUAAUAUGUUGUCCAGAUCAAAUCCACCCAGGGCAGGUCAUGGUGGUUGUAAAAUUUAUGCAGAUAUUUGAGAAAGAGGGCCUCACUUUGGAUAUGGAGAUUGAUUAUGCCAAGUCCACCACUUUGUUUUGGUUGACAAACCAUGUCCCAAGCUGCCAAUGAGUUACAUUUAUCCCCUUGCUCAGUCUUUUUUGUCCAAAGGCACUUCCUUCUUAUGUUAUCAAGUAGCUCUAAUAUCUUUGGUGGGAAUUUGAGAGUGCAGAGAGCAAAGAUGGUGAGAGAUGUAAUCAUCGUGUUGAGGAGUGACAGUUUUGCAUCGUAUGACGUCAAGGCUAAAGUGCUGGUCAUUCUUCGUUCCAUCGUGCAAACAAGAGGCAUGAGAUCUUGGACCGUAGGCUUGGUUAUUACGAGAGGCAGUCCCAAGUAAGUGAAGGGCAUAGAUCCUACCUUACAGCUAAAGAUAGAAGCGAUGUCGUUGUAACAAUCGGCAGCACAAUUAAUUGGGAUUGAUGUAGACUUGUGGAAGUUUAUCUUUAAUCCAAUAGAAGCAGCGUAGUCUGAGAGAAUAUCCUUGAUAGUCCUUGCUUGGUUGGGGCAAGCAGGGAGUAUAAUGAUCGUAUUGUCGGCAUAUUGGAUCACUGGAUAAUCAUGCUGGUUUUGUCUUUGGAACGGAAGCCGUUUUUUUCCUUGUCGGAAAGUGUCAUUAAUGGAACCUUGAAUAAGGUCAGCUGCGAGCACAAAAAUGAGGGGUGAUAAAGGAUCACCUUGACGAACACCACAUUUGCAGAUGAAUUGCCGGCCUGGUACACCAUUUAACAGGACCGAUGAUUUUCCCGAGGCGAAGAUGCAUUUGAUCCAAUCAAGCCACUUGGCAUCAAACCCCAUGUAUUCCAUAAUUGUAAUCAUUGCAUCAUGCUCGAUCAUGUCAAAGGCUUUUGCAAAAUUUAGUUUUAGCAGGACAAUAUUUUGUUUUGGGGUUUGACACUGAUGGAUGUACUCGAAAGCCCAGGCCAAACAGUCUUGUAUUGAUCUUCCUUUGAUGAAGCCAUAUUAAUUGCGAUGAACAAUUUUAAGUAUGAGCUUUUGGAGCCGCUUUGCGAGCAGUUUAGUGAUAACCUUGAGGCAGAAGUUGAGCAAAGUAAUUGGUUUGAAAUCAGAAAUUGUCUCAGGUGACCGAACUUUGGGUAUGAGUGUGAUAAAUCCCACAUUAAUGCUCUCAAGAUUAAGUCCGCCCUCAUAGAAUUGAUUGCAUAGCUCAUAAAAAUCCUCUUUAAUUAUGUUUCAACAUUUUUCGGAAAUAAGCCAGUGAAUCCAUCCGGACCAGGUCCUCUGUCAGCCAGCAUUUCCUUGAUGAAAGCAUCGAUUUCAUCCUUGGUGAAAGGGACAGUCAAUUGAUCCACACCCUCAACUUUCUUGAUGAUGCUUUGUAGGUUGAAUUUCAUUUGAAACUCUCCAGAUUUUCCAAGUCUUUCUUUGAACGGUUGGUAUAUGAUCGCCUCUUUACUAGCAUGAUCUUCUGCCACUGUGUCAUCAGAGAGUUUCAGUGUUGGAAUUGUGUUGCGUCUGUAUCUUUCUGAGGCCAUUGACUUUAAAAAUUUAGGGUCUUCAUCACCCAAUUUCACCCAUCGAAUGGUGCAUCUCUUUUGCCAGUAUUGUCUUUGGUAGUUCAAGAGGCGUAAAAUGUGUUUAUUCAGAAUUUUCCUAAAAUUAUGUUCUGGAGUAGAAAGGAUUCUAAGAUUUUUUAGGGCAUCUAGAUUGGCCAGGGCAAGAUUAGAGUUUUCAAUUGCCACCUUAAGUUUAGAGAUACGUUUGCUCCACCUUUUCAACUCAUAUCUAAAUGCUUUGAACUUUUUGCAUAGUAAAGUGGCGGCAUUUGUAUUGGCAUGUUUUAAUGGUCUUGUCCACACAGAUUGAACCAAAUCCAUAAAACCCGGGUGCUCCGUCCAAUAAGACUCAAAUCUAAAGAUAUUGCUGCGAGGGAUGGAGGUUUCAAUUUUGACAACACACGGAAUAUGAUCAGAAACUGGUUUCCCUAGUGGCAUAACUAGAGUGUUAGGGUAACACAAAGUCCAGUUGUUAGACGUGAGAAACCAGUCUAAUUGCUCAAGGAGGGGGGGGUCUGUCUGCAUGUUGCUCCAAGUGUAAUCACGACCCUCAAUUGGAAGUUCAAUUAAUUACUAAGAGCGGAUGAUGUCAUUAAAAGCAAUCAUGUCAUUAGGAUUACCUCUAGGUUUAUUUCUGUUAUCAGGGCUACGAAUAUAGUUGAAGUCUCCUAGCAACAACCAAUCUUCAUUGGAGGGGAUAUUUAGAGUAUGAAGCCAAUUAGUGUAAGUCACUCUCGGGUCACCCUGACACAGGCCAUGUAUAUUCACCAGGGUCCACUCUUAGGCCGAUUGUGUGGAACAGAAUUUGAUGAAAGAACCAUGCCAUGAGAACUGUUCCUGUGAAAAUGGCAUUGUUCCAAAUGGCGGCAAUGCCUCUUGAAGCACCCUGGGAGGGGAUGUAUGCAAAUUUAUAAAAUCUUCUUGGACAACAAGACUUCAGGAACAAGUUAUCAAUGACAGAUUUUUUUUGUUUCUUGCAGACAGAUGACUGCACAGCCACUGGAGGAGAUAGCAUUUGAGAACGCCAAAAGCUUAGGAUCAGAGUUUAAGCCUCUUACAUUCCAGCACAAAAUAUUCUAGCUCGAUAAAAGUGCCAUGAUAAAAUAGAGCAAAUUAAAAAACAACUAAAAUAAAGCGAGGAAAUAGCUUAAGCAUUGGAGGGGCCGUCCUCAGCUUCAGCCAUUAGAGCUUCAGAAGUAACUUCUUCUGGCGGAAUGGCGCACUUGAUGAUCCCAAUGUGUUGCAGCACUUGAACAGGAGUAGGUGGAGGGAUAUUGUCCUCGUUCAGUGAGUCAGGAACAACUUGACCUGCUUGGGCACCAGCACUAGGGACAAUUCUUGGCUUGACUUUGGAAGGUUUAGCCUUGCUGUCAGAAACUGAUGGUAUCUUGAAACCAUCAUACUUAUUAGAGCGGCUACUGUGACGAACCUCAACCACAGAUGCUGGUGCUUUAGCUUUGCCCCUCCUGAUUAUUGAUUUCCCUGAGCUCAUAGCGUCACUUGCAAUAAAGCCAGUGGAUUCACUUGCAUCAGAACUAGAAGAGGUGGUCAUUGCAUCCAAUGAAAGUGUUGUUGCACCUUGAACAGGUAAGUCCAUCUCAUCCAAGACUUCUGUGAUGACAACAUUGUAGUUGGAAGUCCUUGGUAUGACAGCGAGAUCAUUUGUUGGCUGAAGAGGGUUAUCCCCACAGGACAGGGCCCAAGAACUACUGCCAGGGAUCAUCUCAGUGACAUAUACUGAAUCUGCAGUAUGUUGGACGGUUCUGGUGGAAGACAGAAUAGAGAACUGUCCCUCUUUCUCAGCAAUGCUAACAUUAAAUUGCACUGAAAUGUCACAAAAUCCAAACCCCGAGCUCCACGGGCCAUAUGCAUCUAUAAUAGGCCUAAUAGAAGCUAGGAGGUAAGUGUUCAGCCUCAACAUUGGCACACAAUCAUUCAGAAGCAAAGAAGCAUUGGUGUUCUCAGGAGAAAGCAUAGAAAGUUGCAGACCAACAUAUGAAAUAGACAGUGACAUUUCCAUGGGUGUUACCUCCUAGGCGGUCACAAGAUUGUACGUGAUAAAACUCAGCUCGGAAUCGAUGAUCUGGUGUCUUUCCUAUGCUUGUGGCCCAGCUAACAAUCUCGACAUCUUCUGUACUGCAUCAGGUGAUGCAUGAGGUAGAAUCCAUCAGUCCUACUGGUGUGCGGUUGCUGGAUGCGGCAGAAGUCGGUCUUAUGGCGGAAAACCAGCCCGUUCUUCAUGUGCCUUUUCACCUUGAUAUAUCCACCAGAUAGGCUAAAGGUUAAUAGGGCACUAUCAAGAACACUCUUUAUGUGCAAGUAAUCCUUUUUCUGGAGGUUCUUCGAUGAGUCCAAGUACAUAGCAUGGGAGUAUUACGGGUACAGAACGAUGAGGACGGCGCCGCCCCCGCUGCGCGAAUUAAGUACACCUCAAAUUUGCCUCCAUGCUUGCAAAGGAACGAUUAACACGUACGAAAGCAUAUGCGCGGAUGACUUACUAGGGAUGAUAAGGCAGGAGAAUCGCUUCCUUGUGCUUAUUAGCGAUCAUGAAUUCACCGACAUAGUUGCUCGCAUAGUCACGGUGCUCUUUGCAAACUGCCAAGAAGCUCUCUGCAUAUAGUAUGGGUCCGCGACGCAGAUAUAUUUUAUGUUCUCGAUCUUGAUGAAGUAGUUGAGAUACAACACAUACACGCGGAUGAACUGGAAAUUCAGCUUGGUUGUGUGGAACAUGUCGUAGAUGUAGUCAAAUCGCAGGAUGAACUGAUUCGCGGGCCAGGUCUCGACGUACAACUUCCCACCCGGCACCUGAGCCAUGUAAAGCGGGUAUCCUGGUUCUUUCGCGAUCAGAAGGCUUUUCUCUCCAGCCAACACAUCUUCAUGGAGUCUCUUUAGAUCAUUAUUCAGUAAGAGAUCUAGCGCUUUGGUAGGUAGGAUCGGCUCGCCGGCGACAUGGAAACGCGUCUUACCUUCGCAGGUAUUCUGUCUACCACCCGGGCCUUCAGAGGCGGCUGGCUUCUUGAAGCACCUAUGGCGCCUUUAGGGCCUUUCCUGGGCGGUCUCUUCAUUUGCUUCUUGGCGGGUGGCUGUAGUGAGCCCACCAUACCUUCCCUAACCACCACCCCUAGUGUCAUCGGGCUAAUCAGUGGACGGGCCUCGGGGGGUUGCUGGGUAGAGGCGGCAUCUGAAGGCGUUUCCUGCGAGGAUGGCUUGAAGAGAGACUUUUUGCAUUCCGCCGUAGGACGUUCUGGCUCCGGCAAAUCAGGCAACAUCAAGUCAUCAUCUCCAUGCUCAUAGCCUGAGUCUUCAUCGUCCUGAGCCAUCAAUCCUCCAUCACCAUAGGCGGUAUUUAAAUACUUGUCUGCGUCAUCAUCAUCCUCCAUAUCAUCAUUAGCAUUUGCUUCUUUGACAGUGGGGGCGACAUGAUUUGGCACUAAUCGAGGCUCUCCCUCGCGUCAUACGCUACCAUCCGCCACGACAGGUGCAGGUAAUUUGAUAGGUGGGCUGGUGUUCAUACCUUCUUGAGAAGGUGGCGUUGGCGUGAUACUGGGCGCCUCAAGACGAAGAAGAGACUUCGGCCAAGGCAAGAACCAGCUCUUGCAUGCGCCAACCAUCUUAGGGUUCUCGUUGUCGUCAUCGACUGGUACCGGAGGAGGCAAAUCCUCGAAGCCCGCUAAGACACUGGCCACGUUAACCUUGAAGACUCCAUCGGGCAUCUCUCGGUUGUGGAACAUUCGGUACUUCGGCUUCACGAUCGUUGCCUUUCCCACAGCCACCUUCUGGCCCUUGAUGUCGUAGAGUAGGGUGCAUGGGGUAUCGUCGGCCUACGAAGGAGACAUGUCUGCGACGUCAAACAUCUGAAAGGCAACAGAAAUGAAAGACUAUAGACAUGCUGGUGAAAAGGGUAUGACGCGUAAAUACCGUGAGGUCAUCGAGCUCAGCCAGCGACGAAGGCCCGCCGAGCAUGCGAGAGACGGAGGUCGGGCUGCUAUGAACAGGAACGGGACCUUUUGCGGUUGCUUGGGCAGGUGUUGGUGCUGUGGUGUUUGCCGAAUUGCUGCCGAUAAAGCUAGGAAGGGGAAAGUCCUCCGGCCGUGCAUUUGGACUGCUCUUCGACGAAUCGAAAAUUGCCGGAAUCAAGCUGGCCACCGCGUCAGUGACCAACCCAGUGACCACCCCGAGCAACUCUUCUUUGAUCUCAGCUUUGGUCUUAUUAACCGCAAUCACGACCUUCUCAUCGAUGCUCUGCUGAGUGACGACCAACCCAUCCUUCUUUCCUCUGGCUCCUCGGGGUAGCACGUCCUCCAUGAGGCGCCAUCUCUGAUAUCGUGCACACGUCCAUAGGACGGCGGCUUGUCCACCGGGACCUUUUUCAGUAUGUUUAGGGCCCGGUUGAAUGGGGUGUCGCACUUGGGCCUCGCCGACGACUGUGACGACUCGUCGCUUUCGGCCGCCUUUUUGGUGCUGCUCUUUCUGCAAAAGGAACGUGGAUGGUUUACUAUUGUGAAAAAAGUUCAAGUCGAAUUGAUUGGAAGCUAAUAUGAUAAUGUGGUAAUAUAACAAUUAGCAGAAGUCUCAUGAACUCCCUCGUAUUCGGGCCUGUGUAAAAGAUCUUUCUGACUUUGUCCCACCCACUUGUACCGGGCCGUGAUCGAGUCAUGCUCCUGCAGGUCUGUGAACUCCGACAAGGGGUCUGGUAUUCCGAGACUUUCACGUUCGGCGUCCUCCUUGGCCCAUAUGUACCUCUUCCCCUCGUAACCAUGGCUUCCGAGGCGGUGGGGAGGCGUGUUCCUGGCCUGGAGCACCUUCAUUUUCUCUGACUUUGCCUUGACUUCUUCUUUUCCGCAAUUCUCCUUAAAUUUUACAAAGUCCUCUGCCGUUAUUGUUGGAUUAUCAGCACGAAUCUUGGGCCACGGUUCAUUCUUCGCAAUCGCUUUUUUCACCAGAACAUUCCAGGAGCACAAGUCGUUGGUGAACGUCACCAUCGCGUUGUCGCUUAUCUUUGUCAUGGUGACGUCGUCCCACAACUCUUUAUAUUUGCCUUCCUCCCGAUCGGGGAACAGGAACCUAUUGUGCAACUUCUUUAGGAGCAUGUGCUCCAUAUGUGGUAUCUACUUCAACCUCUCGUCGUUGAUAUUGGCGGUUUCCCUGAGGAUGCAUCCAUGUUGGCUGCCCUAGCACGAGCGCGCUUCCUCCAGCAUCGUUGGCUCUAACUUCUUGGGGUGCAUCUCUGUAACCACAAUUUGUCUGAUGCCAAGCUCGUUUGGUCUUCGCGUCCUCUUCUUCUUUGGUGCUUUACCGGCUACGACAACAUCGUUGCCGGUCUCGGGUGUGGUGUCGGUGCCGGUGCCAGUGCCGGUGUCAGGGUUGGGGCCACUCCCGCCACCAUGCAACCCUAUCUGGUGUUCGUCCAGGUAAUCGAAAUAGUUAUGUGCUGCCUCAAUGGGGUCUGCGAGGCGAGCAGACCACCCACGACUUCGGCGUUGGUGGACAUGUUUCCUAUUCAACAAUUGUAAAUAAAAGAUAUAAUGAAGAGAAAAAAGGGCCUAUAUUUGGUCGGUAUGUUCAUUCCCCUUCCGGGAAAUCCCGGGUACUCCAUAUGUCCUAGUUUCUAGCAUGAAAUUUUUGCCACGACAUUUGCUAAGAACUAGACAUAUGGAACGCCUGAAAUUUGCCAGAACAGAAAUGAAUCAACAUUCAGGCAAAACAUAGGCCAAUCGGAUAUUUUUUGGCAUUCAACCAACAUUGCAAAACCAACAUAUAACAUCAAUGACAUAUAUCAUUCAAGCAAAAGCAUGCUUGUACUUAAAUACACAAAAAUGACAAAAAUAGCACAAACUUGCUCAAACUUGCUCCUAGGGUUCAUACAUAGCUAACUUACCCAAAAUUUUGCUAAAUUUGCUACUGUUUUUUUUAUUUGGUACUGUUUUUAUACUUAAUUUUUUUGCUACUGUUUUUUUAAAUUACUAUUGUUUUUGUAAACUUUGCUACUGUUUUCUAAAUUCUUUUGCUAUUGUUUUUUAAAUUCUUUUGCUACUGUUUUUUAUACCUAAUUUUUUGCUAACUUUCUACAAAAAUUUGCUAACUAGCUAAUAUUUGCUACAAAAAUUUAGUAACUUGCUAAUAAAACAAAAAACAAAAAUUUGUUAAUUAGCUACUGCCCUAAUUUGCUACUUUUCUAACUUGCUAAAAAAUUCCUAACUUUGCUAACUUUACUAAAUUUGCCCUGAAAUUUGCUAACUUUGCUACUGCAUUUGCUAACUUUGCUCAAAAUUUCCCCUAAAUUGAAAACCUAGAUGGGGACGAGGGGGAGGAGGAGGUCGGAGGGGGAGAGGGAGGUGGGGGCAGUACCUGAGGAGGAGGACGGGGCCGGAGGGGACAAGGAGGAGUAGGAGGCCGGAGCGGACGAGGAGGAGGUCUGAGCGGCGGCGGCGCGGAAGAGAAGGAGGUCAGAGCGGCGCGGACGAGGACGAGGAGGAGGCCGGCGGCAAGGCCGAGUGCGGGCAGGGGCGACGGGUCGGCGUCAUGGUCCAGGUCGAGGGGGGACGGCCGGCGGGGCGGGCAGCGCGGGCGAUGACAGCAGAGGAGUGGGAGAGGUGGGAAGUAGGGCGAAUGGGGACUUUGCAAAAUUUUGAGUCCGUGCGGGCAAUGGUUAACUCAAAAUAGCAGUACCGCUGGUUUAGCUAUAGCGUUGGUUCAGCGCUACUGCUAAGUUUUUCAAUUUUACUUUUUUUAUUUCUAAAAUACAAGUAGCAGUAGCGCUGGGUUAGGAACAACGCUAUAGCUAACUUAGCUAUAGCGCUGGUUCCCUAAACCAGGGCUACUGCUAAGUUUUCCAAUUUUAUUUUUUUAUUUCUAAAAUACAAGUAGCAGUAGCGCUGGGUUAGGAAAAAGCACUAUAGCUAACAUUUCUUUUCUUUUUAUUAUUUUCUGUUUACUUCUUUUUUUUCUUUUGUAUUGCUUUAUCCCUUUUCUUUUCUGUUUACUUUCCUUUUCCUUUGUAUUGCUUUAUCGCUUUUCUUUUCUGUUUACUUUUCUUUUCUUUUGUAUCGCUUUAUCCCUACGGCGUCUCCCUCCCACACUGCACUGAUAUCACCGGAUGCAUGCAUGUAAUUGAAGGGAGAUGCGAUUACAUUAUUUGACCGAUAACGGUUACUUAAGUGCGUACACAAAAUAGAUAAAUAUAUAUAAAUGUAGGUUUGUGAUCAACUGCGUCGACAAUGUUUCACAUUAAGCUUCUUCCCUUUCUUGUUCGUUGCCGAGUAAUUGAGCCCCUCCUUGUGUCUUUUCCGGAGCCAUGGAGUAUGAUCUUUCUUAGGUAAUCUAGUCUUGAUUCUUCGUUUCACGUAUGCUUCAUCAUCAUCGUCAUCUUCCCUCAUCGGGUUGCCGUAUUGGUCGUAGUCUUCUUCAUUGGCGACUCCAUCCAUUCCAACGAUGCACCUUUUGGAUCUCCUCACGACAACACGGCUGGGAUUUCCUGGGUCGGUUAUGAAGAAGCAUUGUCUCACGUGCUUAGCGUAUACCCAUGGCUCAUUUUUGGCGAUGACGUUAAUGUUCACGGGAGAGCUCUUCGCGUCGGGUAUAGACAAGGUGGUGAAAUACAUGUUUUCUCUUACGAUUCCUUGGCCCAUCUGACACGGAACAUCGUCGCAUCGUGCAUUCCAGCAUAGUACAGCUCCAAGAUCUCUUCGACCCAUCCGUAGAAUCUUUUAGUUGUGUCGUUGGCGUUAGUCACGCAUUGAAUUAUCACCCUGGAGUUUUGGUAAUCACUGUCCAUGCCUUUGGCCUCCGUGUAGAACAUGUAUCCAUUGAUAUCGUAGGACUGAUAGGUCGCGAGCUUGGGCGCGGGGCCAUGUGCUAAGGCGUGUAUGAGCAAUCUGUCCGAACUGCCCUCUUCCGGGGGAUUUUUAAGAACUUGCUCUUCGAACCAACACAAGAAAGUGGCGUUGUGCUCUACAAUAAAUUCGUCGUCUGUCUUGAGCAUCCCCUUAUCACGGUACUUCUUUGCGAUGCUUUCUUUGUGCCGUGCCACAUAAUCAUCUACCACAUCUAGGUGUUGUAGCACUACUAAGUUAGCCCUGUCAAAGUCGUUCCAUAGAUCCAAGUAGUCCACAUGCAAUUCCCUCGGGCCGUUGUUGUGACCAUCUCCUUCGAGCUUCCCAUUGUGCUUCUUGACAAGCAAACCAACAACAGGGUCUCCGACCCUUAUAUAAUUCUCGAAGAAGGAGACGCACUCAUGCAUCAGAUACCCCUGGACGAUGCUCCCUUCGGGACGGGACUUGUUACGAACGAAUCCUUUGAUGACCCCAUUCAUCCUCUUCAACGGUAUUAUGAUGUGAAGGAAUGUCGGCCCGAGGUCGACGAUGUCAUCCACGAUGUGGACACAGAGAUGCACCAUGAUGUCAAAGAACGCGGGCGGGAAGUACAUCUGAAGCUCACAUAGUAUGACAACAAUCUCUUCCUGUAGCCUUUGGAGCUGCUUCACACUUAUGGGCUUUCGAGAGAUAAUGUCGAAGAAGUUGCAGUGACCAGUAAGCGUGUCACGGACGUGCUUGUCCAUUAUCUCUCUAAUGGCAACUGGGAGUAUCUGCGUCAUCAUCACGUGACAGUCAUGAGACUUCAUCCCGCUGAACCUUUUCUUCUUGGGGUCUAGAAAUCUGCUUAUCUUCCCAGAGUAACUGGAACUGACUUUGAUUCCCAUAAGGCACUUGAUGAAUUGAUCGAUCUCCUUCGCACUUAAGGUGAAGCAAGAAGGGGGGCAAUAAUUCUCCUCCUUCUUGUUAACUUUUCUGCCCCUUUUCCCCUCCUCCAUCUCCGUCUUUGUCUCCUCCAUGAACUUUUUACGGUGGAGAUCUUUCCUGAUCUUCAAAUCUUCCAAGUCUUUCCUUGCCUCCGGGCCAUCUUUUGUCUUCUCCGGCAUCUUCAUCAGUGUGCCAAGCAAGCCCUCGAGGACAUUCUUCGUGAUAUGCAUUUGAUCAAGGCAAUGAGGCGUGUCGUGAUUGGGCCAGUACUCCAAGUCCCAGAAAAUAGACCUCGUUUUCCAUACCUUCAGCAGCGGCUCUGACGCCUUUCUGAUCUUUCCAGGGGCGGGGCAUUCUUCCCAGUUUCUCAAUAGCUCAUCGAUUUUGGCGCCGCUCCUCUUACGUGGAGGUCCUCGAAGCUCAGCCAACCCAUUGAAUAGAUCUCCAUGCUUUCUCCACAGGUCAUCCUUCUUGAGCCAUCUAUGAUGCCCCAUGUACAUGGUUUUCCCGGAUACGCCCUCUUUCGUUGACGUAAGCUGCUGAGAAGUUUUAUGAUCCAUGCACCUCCUGCAUCCGCAGUAUCCGUGGCACACCUGGCCUGGGGUGUACGCGUAAUCGAGAUAGUCUUGCACCGUCGUCAUCAGCGUGGCUCUCAUAUGGAAAUACUCUCCUUUGCUGGUGUCCCAUGUCCAUGCCGGUGAUUUCCAUAACGUGUCUAGCUCCUCUUGCAGAAGCCCCAUAUACAGGUUAAUACUAUUUCCCGGUUGUUUCGGCCCUUGAAUCAGCAUGCACAUGUGUCUGUACUUUUGUCCUCAUGCACUUCCAUGGGAGAGGUUGUACAUCCAUACAAACACGGGCCAUGUGCUAUGGUUGGUGCUCCAGUUUCCAAACCGAUUCAUGCCAUCGGUACUCGCACCAAGCACGAUGUUCCUUGGAUCUUUUGCAGCAAAUCCAUACAUGGCGUUGAAUGCUCUCCACUGGCUACCAUCUACGAGGUGUCUUAGCCUCGUAUCAUCUCCAUCGUUGGGCUUCUUUCUCUCCGCAUGCCAGUGCAUGAGUUUUGCUUCCUUAGGAUCUAUGAAAUACCCCUACAGACGCGGAGUGAUCGAAAGUACCAUACAACUUUCUGAGGAGCUUUCUUUCCUUCCUUCUUGUAUCGAGAAGCAUUGCACACUGGAUAGCUGGUUUUUCCGCGUGCUCCCCCAGAUCAAUGAUGUAAUCGAUGAUGCAUGCGUGGUACCUAAUGUGUGGCAAAUCAAAAGGGCAAAUGAUUUUCUUGGCCUCCUCGACACUAGUAGGACACAUGUUCCCAGUGGGAAGAACUUUAUUAUGUAGAUACUUCAAAUGCGCAUCGAGGCUUUUGUCUGUCCAUUUGAUUUUGGCCUUCGUCUUUAGAAGUACGAGCAUGAAACUCAAGCGGGUCACCUUGGGAUCGCAACCGUCAUACAGUGGAGUCCUCGAGUCUACUUAAAGUUGCACCAGCUUAGCCUCCUCUCUAUAAGCAUCUCUCUCGCUAGUCGAACUCUUGCGAAGGAGGUCUUAAACGUGAGGAUCCUGCACGACUGCACUCAGUAGCGUCGAAGACAGUGUGACCGCCACCUCUUCUCCGCCAUGUCCGGACUCUUCUUCACCGUGUCCAGAAUCUUCUCCGCUGCCGUCACUUCCGGACUCUUCCCCGCCGCCAUGUCCGGCGCCACCGUCUUCAUGUUGAUGGGUCAUCUCUUCGUCUAGCCCCAUGUCUUUAUUACCUACCAUGUGGACAUCCUCAUCAUCAUCAUCUUCUUCACUUAUCCACUGAGUAUAGCCAUCCAUGAAACCAUUCAUCAGCAGGUGCGCCUUCAAAGUGACACGAUCAAAAGGGUCCAAAAGGACUCCUUCCUUGCCCCUUGCAUCUUGCACGCAGACAUAUAAUCCUAGUCCAAUUAUUUGCGUACAUGUCCAUCACCGCGGAUUGCAUGUACCGCUCCACCUUCCGUCAACUCACCUUCAUGACCGACUGCACGGUAUAAAAAGCAACAGGGUUAUAAAAUAAAUAAUGCAUGCAUGCUUCAAAGUCAUAUAAAAUUUUGGCAUGACCUUGCCUAAAAAUAGGACAUAUUGGGUUUGCUCGAAAUUCACCGAAAGAGAAAUAAAUCGACAUUUUAGCAAAACAUAAGCAACUCGAUGGCACGUCACACUCGCACAAAUCUCUCCAUAUCAAACACAUUUGAACACAUUUGAAAACGGGAAAAUUGAGAGUUGUACAUGGAACAGAUUUGAAGUUCAUGAAAAAUGUCAUCUUGAUUUUUUUCUUUUGAGCAAUGGAAUUGAAUUUUUGAUGACUAACAUAAUUAGGUCAAAUAAUCAGCUAGAUUUAUACUCUUGGAACUUUGAGGAAAAGUAACUCGAAACAAUGGUAGAGAACACUUCGAAACACUGCCGCUGUGGUUCCUCCAUACUCUCUGUCUCUCCCUCCCUCUUUUUUAUCUCCUACUAUAGGACGUGCGGAGCGGAAAACUGAGUGGCACACAAAUAUUAAAACAUCAAUACAAUGUGUACUAGUCAAUUUGGCCCUUUGUAUGUAGUUGAUCAUAACAAUGACCCAAGAUUGGAUCAAAGUUUUUCUUCUGAAGUAAUAAUAGGCUUCUCUUAGAACUCAUGAUUUACAAGUUGCACCAUAUUUGAACUUCCUCCUGGCUUUCUACGGAUCAUCUUGAAGAAGUCCUUAUUAGCCUUUUUAUUUGGAAUACAAACAUCAUACAUGUCUAGAACACAAAAACUCUGGUUGCCUUUUUCCUACUACGAACAGAUACUACAAUCACAAAACUCCAUAGAAUUGUUGCAUUUGUUUCUCAUACCUUUCUCUUGGGCCAAUAAACAAAAUAUUUAUUUCAAGAGUUCAAUCUUGUCUUAGACCUGCAAGGUAAGAUGUCGGCACUGAAUACACACACUAUACAACACACAUUCAAAGUAAAGAUGCAAGUAAAAAAGAACAUAUAUAUCUUGAUGCCUAAAUAAUAAUAAUUAUGGGUAUGGCAACAUCUAGUAUAUUUUUUCAAACAAAACUAAUCAAUCUUAAUUUUGCUUAUACAGUGGGAAACUAUUUCAAAUAUAACUUGCAUAUUAUUUCAUAUCUUAUUUAGUCUCAGGCUCCAAAAGAUCAUGGGAUAAAUAACUCAUGAUUGUAUAAUUCAUGCAAAAAUCAGUAUAAAUAAGGUGAAGAAUUUGCACUACCCAAAUCUAAAAGGAGUACAUGUCAAUCUCUGGAGGCAUGAGAUGUAGAUGGUAUGUACAUAAAUAUAGACUAAACCAACAUGUGUCACAGGUGAUUAUGACGAAGAUCGAACAGCUGCCGCCGGGUAGAUACUAAAAAUAAAUGAUGGAACAGGAUGAUAGUCAAAGCUGGGUUCGAGAACUACAGGAUUAGGGAGACCUUGAGACGCUGGAUAUAGGAGCGUAUACAUGUAUACUCAGACAGGAAUUUCAAAACGAUGCAAGACUACAUCAACCUCUCAUCCAAACAAGAAAUUCUGCUAUGUGCAAAUCCCUUCUUCUCCUUCCACUCUUCUUCCUCCCACUCAUCUUCACUUGUUGUGCCUGACCAUAAUGAGGCCGAGCACCUGCAACGUCGGAGAGGUAGUUACUAAGAUUGCCGGGAUUCUGCUACACAUUCUGCAGUAUUUGCCAAGCAUGAAGUCGGGGUGCUCGCAGUAAGCACACGUGAUGGGGUGGAAGCGAUCUUACUCGAGCGGUCCGACCCACUAAUUUUAGUAGUUUUAUGAAAUUAUCUCAGUUAAAUUGAGAGUAUCCAAUGAAACUUGAGGGAGAAAAAUGAAGAUAUGUGACCUAGUGAUAGUCCGCUCGCCUAACCUCUUGGUGGAAUUUACUAUUGUGGUUAUAAAUAGUUGCAAAUUUGAUAACAAUAUAAUCUAGCAGUUGCUAUGAAAACUCUAUGAGGGCAAACUACCAACCAACACUACCAACCAACAUAUAAUCUAGCAUUCCAGCAUAGUACAGCUCCCAGAUCUCUUCGACCCUUCCGUAGAAUCUUUCAGAUGUGUCGUUGGCAUUGGUCACGCAUUGAAUUGUCACCCCGGAGUUCUGGUAAUAACUGUCCAUGUCUUUGGCCUCCGUGUAGAACGUGUACCCAUUGAUACCGUAGGACUGAUAGGUCGCGAGCUUGGGCGCGGGGCCAUGUGCUAAGGCGUGUAUGAGCAAUCCGUCCGAACUGCCCUCUUCCGGGGGAUUUUUAAGAACUUGCUCUUUGAACCAACGCAAGAAAGUGGCGUUGUGCUCUACAAUAACUUCGCCGUCUGUCUUGAGCAUCCCCUUAUCAUGGUACUUCUUUGCAAUGCUUUCUUUGUGCCGUGCCACAUAAUCAUCUACCACAUCUAGGUGUUGUAGCACUACUAAGUUAGCCCUGUCAAAGUCGUUUCAUCGAUCCGAGUAGUCCACGUGCAAUUCCCUCCGGUUCUUGAUAGGCAAACCAACAACAGGUUCUCCGACCCUUAUAUAAUUCUCGAAGAAGGAGACGCACUCAAGCGUCAGAUACCCCUGGACGAUGCUCCCUUUGAGAUGGGACUUGUUACAAAUGAAUCCUUUGAUGACCCCAUUCAUUCUCUUGAAAGACAUUAUGCUAUGAAGGAAUGUUGGCCCGAGGUCGACGAUGUUAAAGAACGCAGACAAACAGAUGCACCAUGACAUUAAAGAACGUGGGCGGGAAGUACAUCUCAAGCUCACAUAGUAUGACAACGAUCUCUUGUUGUAGCCUUCGGAGCUGCUUCACACUUAUGGACUUUCGAGAGAUAACGUCGAAGAAGUUGCAGUGACCAGUAAUCGUGUCACGGAUGUGCUUGUCUAUUAUCUCUCUAAUGGCAACCGGGAGUAUCUGCUUCAUCAUCACGUGACAGUCAUGAGACUUCAUCCCGCUGAACCUUUUCUUCUUGGGGUCUAGAAAUCUGCUUAUCUUCCCACAGUAACCGGAAUGGACUUUGAUUCCCAUAAGGCACUUGAUGAAUUGAUCGAUCUCCUUCGCACUUAAGGUGAAGCAAGAAGGGGGGCAAUAAUUCUCCUCCUUCUUGUUGACUUUUCUGCCCCUUUCCCCCUCCUCCGUCUCCAUCUUUGUCUCCUCCAUCAACUUUUUAUGGUGGAGAUCUUUCCUGAUCUUCAAAUCUUCCAAGUCUUCCUUGCCUUCGGCCCAUCCUUUGUCUUCUCCGGCAUGUUCAUCAGUGUGCCAAGCAAGCCCUCGAGGACAUUCUUCGUGAUAUGCAUUUGAUCAAGGCAAUGAGGCGUGUCGUGAUUGGGCCAGUACUCCAAGUCCAAGAAAACAGACCUCGUUUUCCAUACCUUCAGCAGCGGCUCCGACGCCUUUUUGAUCUUUCCCGGCGCGGGGCAUUCUUCCCAGUUUCUCAACAGCUCAUCGAUUUUGGCGCCGCUCCUCUUACGUGGAGGUCCUCGAAGCUAAGCCAACCCAUUGAAUAGAUCUCCACACUUUCUCCAUAGGUCAUCCUUCUUGAGCCAUCUAUGAUGCCCCGGAUACGCCAUCUUUUUUUGACAUAAGCUGCUGAGACAUUUUAUCAUCCAUGCACCUCGUGCAUCUACAGUAUUCGUGGAACACCUGGCCUGGGGUGUACCCGUAACUGAGAUAGUCGUGCACCAUCAUCAUCAGUGCGGCUCUCAUAUGGAAAUACUCUCCUUUGCUGGUGUCCCAUGUCCAUGCCGGUGAUUUCCAUAAUGUUUCUAGCUCCUCUUGCAGAAGCCCCAUAUACAGGUUAAUACUAUUUCUCGGUUGUUUUGGCCCUUGAAUCAGCGUGCACAUGUGUUUGUACUUUUGUCUUCAUGCACCUCCAUGGGGGAGGUUGUACAUCCAUACAAACACGGGCCAUUUGUUAUGGUUGGUGCUCUGGUUUCCAAACCGAUUCAUGCCAUCGGUACUCGCACCAAGCACGAUGUUCCAUGGAUCUUAUGCAGCAAAUCCAUACUUGCUGUUGAAUGUUCUCCACUGGCUACCAUCUACAAGGUGUCUCAGCCUCGGAUCAUCUCCAUCGUUGGUCUUCUUCCUCUCCGCGUGCCAGCGCAUGAGCUUUGCUUCCUUAGGAUCUACGAAAUACCGCUGCAGACGGGGAGUGAUCGAAAGGUACCAUACAAAUUUCUGAGGAGCUUUCUUUCCUUCCUUCUUGUAUCGAGAAGCAUUGGACACUGGACAGCUGGUUUUUCCACGUGCCCCCCAAAUAAAUGAUGUAAUCGUUGAUGCAUGCGUGGUACCUAAUGUGCGGCAAAUCAAAAUGGAAAAUGAAUUUCAUGGCCUCCUCGACACUAGUAGGACACAUGUUCGCCGUAGGAAGAACUUUAUUAUGUAGAUACUUGAAAUGCUCAUCAAGGCUUUUGUCUGUCUAUUUGUUUUUGGCCUUCGUCUUUAGAAGUUCGACCGUAAAACUCAAGCAGGUCACCUUGGGAUCGCAACCGUCAUACAAUGGAGUCCUCGAGUCUACUUAAAGUUGCGCCAGCUUGGCCUCCUCUCUAGAGGAAGCCCUCUCACUAGUCGUACUCUUGCGAAGGAGGUCUUAAACAUGAGGGUCCUGCACAACUGCACUUAGUAGCAUCGAAGACUGCGGUGUGACCGCCGCCUCUUCUCCGCCAUGUCCGGACUCUUCUUCGCCGUGUCCGGAAUCUUCUCCACCGCCAUCAUUUCCGGACUCUUCCCCGCCGCCAUGUCCGGUGCCAUCGUCUUCGUGUCGAUCGGUCAUCUCUUCGUCUAGCCCCAUGUCGUUAUUCCCUGCCAUCUGGACAUCCUCAUCAUCAUCAUCUUCUUCUUCACUUAUCCACUGAGUAUAGCCAUCCAUGAAACCAUUCAUCAGCAGGUGCGCCUUCAAAGUGCCACGAUCAAAAGGGUCCAAAAGGACUCCUUCCUUGCCCGUUGCAUCUUGCACACGGACAUCUAAUCCUAGUCCGAUUAUUUGCAUACAUGUCCAUCACCGUGGAUUGCAUGUACCGCUCCAGCUUCCAUCCACUCACCUUCAUGACCAAUUGCACGGUAUAACAGGCAAAAGGGUUAUAAAAUAAAUAAUGCAUGCAUGCUUCAAAGUCAUAUAAAAUUUUGGCAUGACCUUGCCUAAAAAUAGGAGAUAUUGGGUUUGCUCGAAAUUCACCGAAACGGAAAUAAAUCGAUAUUUCAGCAAAACAUAAGCAACUCGAGGGCAUGUCACACUCGCACAAAUAUCUCCAUGUAUAUAUGCCAAACACACGUAUUCUCAUUCACACACAUAUUCCCAUUCUUGAAAUGAACAACUUUUUUACUCACCUAUAUAUCUCCCGAGAGAGACCGAUCGAGAGAGCACGCGGUUAAUUAGAUGAUGAGAGAGACCGAUCGAGAGAGCAUGCGUGGAUGGCUAAUUAGCUAGCUAGAUCUAGUUGUUGGGGAGGAGAGGUGAAUCUAGCUAGUUAACUAAUGGAGAUGGAGUUAUGGUGGAGGGGCAUUAAUGGGGAGAGGAAGAGAGGUAGGAGAAACAAAGAUGUGAGAGAGGCCAUUAAUGAGGAGAGUUGAGAGGGACAUUAAUGAGGAGGGAAGAGAGGUACAAGGAAGAGAGAAGAAGAGCAACAAUGGUGGAGAGUAGAGGGGGAAAGGAGGGGGAGAGAGGGCAAAGUGGGGGAGAGGAGGGGGAGGGGUGAAAAGGUGGCACCAGCCGCAACUAGUAGUAGCGUUGCUUACCAAAAUGCGCUGCUGCUACCGUACUUAGUAGCAGUGCUUUCCUACAGAAGCGCUACUACUAAGUGGGACCCAUUAGCAGUAGCGGCGCAGUAAAAUACAACACUACUACUAAAAUGUUAGUAGUAGCGCUGGAUUCUGCACAGCGCUGGUACUACAGCUACCGUCGGUGGCCUCGUCUGGUCCACAUAGUAGUAGCGCGUUUUUGGUUUCCAACGCUACUGCUAUAGACAGAAUAGUAGCGCUUCCCUGGAUCGGCGCUACUGCUAACUAGUAGCAGCGUUCACUAUUUUCCAGCGCUACUGCUAACUAGUAGCUGCUAACUUGUAUAAGCAUUUCCCUAGUAGUGUUAAUUUGAUUGACAGAUUGCACUUCUGGUUUCUACAGCUAGUUCUAACUAAUGAUUGAAAAAUAUAUCUACCUUAACUCUAGACAACUACAACACAUUGUCACUGCCUAACAGUGAUGAACCCUAGUGAUUCAAAUAAAAAAAUUACAAUGGCAGUGACCUAUAGCAAAAGAGGGAGGGAUGAUAUGCGCACCUGGGUUGGAGCCGAGGGUUUCCUACAGUCUACUCUGUCGCCGUCAUCAUCUCCUGGUUUCGUCGCUGAAACCCUAGCAGAUGAGAGUGGGAGGCACAGAUGCAAAACACACCUCUAAUUAAAAAAAUUCCAAAUGGACCAGAUGAGAGUGGGAAGCUCAGAUGUGUACCUCCAGACUGGAGAACGACGACAAUCGCCGGAAUCAGCCAAAAUCAAAGCGGCACGACCAGCGGCGAGAGAAGGAGAGAAAAGGGAACGAAACAGAGCAGCGGGUCAUAUAGAGGGAGUAGGUUGAGGGGGUCGUUGCCCCCGUUGGUUUUGACCCCCAUGGCAUUCUAAUACUAUUUGGGCUUGCCCAAUAAGAAAAAAGAUCACCACCUAAAAAUUGUCAACUCAAAACUAUAUAUUUCUGGUCUUAAACUAAAAAGGAAAAAAAGUAAAUUUAACAAAAGUAACUAUAAUAUACUAUUAAAAAGAUCAUUAUUUCCAUUUAAAAUAAUAGAAAUGUCAUUAUUAAUAAAAUGUCAUUAUUAAUAAAAUGUACAUAUUAAUAAAAUGUCAUUAUUUCCAUUUAAAAUAAUAGAAAUUUCAUAAAAGUAAACUAUAAUAUACUAUAAAAAAGAUCACCACACAAAAAACUAAAAAGAAACAAAUUUUGAUGUGUCAAACUACAUAUUUGAAGGCUCAAUACUAUAUAUUUUAAGUCUUAAACUAAAAAGGAAAAAAUAUUAAAGUCUCAAAAUACAUAUUUAAAAACAUGUCAUUAUUUCCAUUUAAAAUGAUAAAAUUUUAAUAGAAGUAAACUAUAAUAUAAUAUAAAAAAGUUCACCACAAAAAAACCUAAAAAGAAAAAAUAAAUUGGAAGUGUGAAACUACAUAUUUGAAGGCUCAAAACUAUAUAUUUCAAGUACUAACUGAAAAGGAAAAACGUAAAUUUAAAAUCUUAAGUACAUAUUUUUAAAAAUGUCAUUAUUUCUAUUUAAAAUAAUUGAAAAUUAAUAAAAGUAAACUAUAAUAUACUAUAAAAAAGUAUAUACCAAAAAAUAGUAAUAUAAGAAUGUUCGCAUUGACAAAAUAACAAUACCGGCGUCGGUUAUAACAGCACGCCGCAACUAAAUAUAAUAGUGUUGGCAUUCCAUGAUAUUCCACGACAGCAAUAUAUUACGUCUGGUACAAAUUGUUGAUCUCAUGUAUUUCUGACACUGCCUUGUUUUGGAACGCCACCACUAUGCCCCUAUUAAUGUCGUACCAAAUCAGCCAACGCCAUCACUAUUUGAAAACAGAUAGUGGUGGCGUUGGUUGUAAUGGAGCGCCACUAACGAAAGUUGUGGCUAGCCCUUUUUCCACUAGUGAAGAUUGAGGGAGGCUGUUAGAUAAUGUUUAUGCAUAGCUUUCGUGUAGACACUUUAUAAUGGGAUAGCCACUCCCGUAUUGGGUGUCGUGCAGUUUCCCACAAACAUAACGUUUUACAAUCCUGAGAGGCCAUCCAAGGGAGUCCGUCGUAGGUUGAUGCCGUUUUUACCCUCUCUAACUAAACCUAAAGUGGCGAAGUUGCUAGCAUGUCGCCAUGUCCUUGCACUAGAGAAGGUAGUUGGGGUCUAGACGAUCGUCUUGGAGAUGGACUGAAAGAUGGUUGUGAGCAAGCUCAACUCUGAAGGGAAGGACGGCUCACCCCAUGGCCCGGCGGUUGAAGAUGUGAAGGGCAUGCUAGCUCCAAACUUUUAUUGAGUCCAAGAUCACUUGGGUUCAUGGAGUGAUGAAUUGUAUUGCCUACGUCUUAACUAAUGAACAUUGUCGGAAUGAGUUGUGAAAAACAUCGCUUAGUGUGCCUCCGAAUUGUACUAGCGCCAUUUGAACUCUGGCAUUGCCGAGAACUCUGAAUACAAUGGCAACCAUUCUAUCUAAAAAAUGAUUCCUUACAGGUAUCUUUUGCCUUAUCAAUAAAUCGAGUAUAAAAAAUUCAGUUUAAAUUAGAAGCAAGGUGAUUACCAACAUACUUAUUUUAUUCCUUAUCUAUAUCUUAAAGCAUGGCUAUAAUAAGAUGAUAUACUUUUCGUCAAAAAGUUGCUAGUAUUACUUUUAAUUGACUAGGGAACUAAAUCAUGACUACGACUACCUCUGUCCUGAUUUAUUAGGGCUCCUUGUAGUUUGGGUCAAACUUUGAAAUUUAAUUUAACUAUUAGAAGAAUAAGUUAUAUACUCUAAGAAUAGUAUCACUGAAAUCCUCUUUCGAAUAUGAAUCCAACAAUAUAUGUUUUGUCACAUACAACUUAUAAUUUGUUAGUCAAAUCUACAGUCAAAGUUGGACACAAAAUAUGAAAGGGACCAAUAAACCCGGACGGAUGUAAUAGUAGUAGUAGUACUCCCUCCGAAACAAAUAAAUGCACUACCAAAUGCUCCCUCCGUCCCGAAAUACUUGUCGGAGAAAUGGAUAUAUCUAGAUGUAUUUUAGUUCUAGAUACAUCAUUUUUUAUGCAUUUCUACGACAAGUAUUUCCGGAUGGAGGGAAUAGUAAGUGUAUAUUUGUUUCUAAAUAUGAAAAUAUUACUAUUAAAUACUACUAUACCAAAGAUAUAAGAAUAUUAAAUACUAGUAUACCAAAGAUACACAUAAAUAUAAGAAUAUUUAAUAGUAUUAUAUGGAAGAUAUUCUAUAGUUAAAUCUAUUUACUCUGUUCCAAAAUAUAAGAAUAUUACUAUAAAAUACUAUUAGCUGUUUUCAAAUAAUUAGUAAUAGAGAUAAUAUUCUUUAGUAGUGAUAUAUCUUUAUUCCUCAUUAAAUAUAAGAAUAUUACUAGUAUUAAAUACUAGAAUCCCAAAGAUAUAUCUAAUAGUAUACCAAAAGAUAUACAACAAUUAAAUAAUAUUACCUCUGUUCCAAAAUAUAAGAAUGUUACUACUACCUCCGUCUCGAAAUAGUUGUCACCAAAAUGAAUAAAGGAGGAUGUAUCUAGAUGUAUUUUAGUUCUAGAUACAUCUUUUUCUAUCUGUUUUGAUCACAACUAUUUUUGGAUGGAGGAAGUAUUAAAUACUGUCACAGCUAUUCUUAUAUUUAGUAACAGAGAUAAUAGUAUUUAAUAGUAGUAUAUCAUUGUUCCUAAAUACUCCCUCCGUUCCAAAAUUCUUGUCUUAUAUUUGUCUAGAUACGGAUGUAUCUGAUACUAAAAUGUAACUAGAUACAUCCGUAUUUAGACAAAUCAAAGACAAGAACUUUGGGACGGUGGGAGUAUAAGAAUAUUACUAUUAAAUACUAGUAUACAAAUAUAUAUUUAGUACUAUACCAAAAUAUAAGAAUAUUUAAUGGAAAUAUACCAAAGAUAUGCUACUAUUAAAUGCUGGUAUUAAAUAAAUAAAUUUGUAGUUCAACACGCGGUCCCCACCUUGGCCCGUGCCUUCCGUUUCAAUUCAUAAAGGGCAACACAUGCUUCGCCUCCCCUCUCACAUUCUUCUCAUCCCGCUCACCUCAACCAACUCCGCGCGUCUGUUCGACCGAUCCUCCGCGAUGUCUAGCUCCGGCGUCAGUGCCAUACCCGCAGCCAACCACGAGGAGCACAGCUUGGCAGCCCCCGCCCCGCCCCCCGCGGUUGCGGUCGCCCAGGGGAAAGGGAAGAUGCUUGCGCAACAGGCGCCUGCGCCGGUGGUUCGCAAGCGCAAGCCUGGGAGACCCCAGGAGAAAAGCCCACCCCCAGCGGCCACCAGAGAGGAGCUGGAAUCCAGGGAGUCCCGGGAAGGACCCUUGAACGUGCUUGCGCUCCCGGCGCCAGGGGCCCCGCCUGCUUAUGCUGUCUCAGACUACAAGAUGGUGAGUCGCACUCGCGCCCCCACACGGCGUGCAACCGCUGUAUCCGAAGACAAGAUGGUGAGCCGCGCUCGCUCCUCCCCCCUCUGCUACUAGUGAUUUGAAGUUAACUGGUGCCUAAUGAGCUGGAGUUAUUGACAAUCUUUAAUCUAGUCAUGUGAAUUAGUACUAGUGCUUAAUGAACUACCUGAUGUGUAUGUGCAAGAAUUACGUGCUGGGUAUAUGUCCUUGGACAUUCUAAUCGUUGCGAUCUCAUCUGGCAGAUGGACAGGAAUGAGAUGGCGCUGGUGGUUCGCAGGCGCAAGCCCGGGAGACCCCAGGAGAAAAGCCCGCCCCCAGCAGCCACCAGAGAGGAGCUGGAAUCCCGGGCUUGCGCUCCCGGCGCCAGGGGCCCCACGUACUCACGCUGUCUCGCACUCGCGCCCCCACCCGGCAUGCAAACGUUGUCUCCGACGACAAGAUGGUGAGCCGUGAUCGCGCCCCCACCCUGCAUGCAAACCGUGUCUCCGAUGACAAGAUGGUGAGCCGCAGUCGCUUCCCCCUCUCCUACUAGUGAUUUGAAGUUAACCGGUGCCUAAUGAUUUGAAAUUACUGACAAUCUUUAAUCCAGUCAUGUGAAUUGUACUAGUGCUUACUGAAUUACCUGAUGUGUAUGUGCAUGAACUACGUGGUGUGUACAUGUCCUUGGAUUUUCUAAUCGCUGCGGUCUCAUCUGGCAGAUGGACAAGAACGAGAUGGUGCCGGUCCAGGGGGUGCCGCGCAUGCGGGGGAGCAUCGCGUCGUCAAGUGCGGUUGGUAAGUAUACUUUAUGCUGCUUUUUUUUGUCAACAUCGUCUCCAUGCAGGCUACACUGGGAAAGAAGCUGCUUAACUCUUGUGCAUGCUGGUUUUUUUUCAUCACUAGUAUACUGGUAUUGGACUGGAGCUUGAUAGCUCUGUCCAUGCUGGGCCUUUUUGUCAUCAUUAGUAUUGUUAUAUAUUAGCUGAAGCUGCACAUGUUUUCUUUCCAUUGACGUUGGUGCGGGCGGUGCUACGCGUCAGUCGGCCGAUGGAUGGACGCCUUACUCACCUGAUUUUAAUCAAGUCCCACCUAGGUGUAAUUUGUUUUGUCACUAGCUGUGUAUACAUAGGCGAGCUCCAGCACUGCAUUGCAGCGUGGAAAACAUAUGAACUGUAAUAAGAAACAUGCAGUGGCUAGAAACAUCUCCACAUAUUUUUUCAACACGUUUUAGGUGUCAACGAAAUUAGUCGGAUCGCCAGCCAUCGAAUUGACACAUGGAGCAUUGGAUCACAAUACAUGGCAGCAGGGAGAAUGGAAACCGUGUUCCUCCAUAGCCUCCACAAUACAUAUGUAUCCACCACCCCUCCCACAUCGUCGCAACAGACAAUUACGUCGGCCCCUUCCAACACCUCGCUUUGGUACCCUAGAGAUCCCUGAUGUCGCAUGGAUAUCCUGCAAGUAUUAUUACAGUGCGCCAAUGAGGCGUCAUCCUUGCAACAUUGUCUUACAGACAAUGUAGUUGAUGCCACCACCACCAUCACCCAUUUACACAUGGGCCGUCGCAUGUGGCACUGUUCGUGGGAUAAAACACACCCCGCGAGAAUACGCGGUUGCACCACUGCGAUCUAUGCAACUUAGGAAUUGUUGUGACUGCCCCUGCAAAACUAGCGAUGAUACGGCCAUCGCCCUGCAACAUUGGCCAUAGUUGUAGCACAUCUGAGAAGACGGAUGCCGCACCUAACAACACAGUAUGUGUUUUUUGCACCAUAAGGAAGCACUGCCUUGCAACAUCGGCUAUCAGGGUGCUGCACUGACAAACACACUCACGACCUUGAGAUGUCGUAUGCCUUGGCCGAUGUAGCAUAGUGCUCCUCUUUCAGCAUAUAGCGAUGGCUUGUAGCAUUGAUGGUCGGAGAGUCGCAGCAUCGUUGAGUGGCAGUGCUAGCCCAUCUCAUUGUCAUAGAGAAGGGGGAAUAAAGGAUGGGUGUGCACGUGGUGGAAAUAAAGCGAAUGGAUAUGGUGAAGAGAGAGGAAGACUAACAAGGGGCAUCUGGCGCUAGAGCGAGCUGACUGAUUUCCCCCUGAAACCAGCCUGUUGAAUAUAAUUCAAUUUUCUUUUGAGAGACCUCAUAAAAACGUCGCAACAUGCGAGCAUGUCUAUACAAAAAAUUGUAGAUAUACAACACACACUCAUUAGCUGCAACAAAUCAGUGAAAAACACAAUGUAUAUAGGCCUGAACCGAUGGAUCAUCAGCAUGCAUCUGCCAGCUCUUCCUAGGUUACGCCCAACCGUGAGUCGUUCAAUUGGGUCACACAUCACUACCCAAUCAACCACCAACUUAGUUGUUCCUCUCGUCUCCUCUACCCACCCUUGGCAACAUACACCCAUGAUUCUCAGCAAUAGACCAACAUGGAGGCGACAAUGGUGGCCAUGAUAGGCUAGUGAAAAGCACACUGGUUGGUCAACCUUACAACACUAAACAGAAACAUUGCAACAUGAGGUAACCCCAACUUUGUAGCACUGGUGCACCAUUUUCAACCACCUUGUAGCAAUGAAAAGUUCACUGACCAAUAGAAUUGCUGCACCAAGUUACUGGCUUCCAGCACUGAACACCCGGGCUUGUAGCACCACGAUGAUCGAUGGUCGGCCUUUCAACAGUAUUAGUUAACAUUGCACACCUCGUCUCCAUUUUUAUGUACAUACACAUGAGUGACCUUGGAACAUCAGUAACGUGUCAACAUUAUCAAACUUGAAGACGAUAAAUUUGUUUCUCCAAGCAUCGACAUUACUGAAUAAGCGUGCAACUGCACAUCCACCACAUGAGCCAUAAUUUUUUAGCCCUGCGACAACAGCUUAUAGUUGCAAAAGAGCUGACGAUGAUGGUUUAGAAUGUAUAUGAUCAAAAUAGAUUAAAUGGAGGGGAGGGUGGACUACCUAUGUUGAAUCAGACUAGCCACAAGGUCACAAGUGCCUUGUCUAAAUAGCCAAAAAGACAAAAGGAGGCCUCCUGGAUUCUCCAUCCUGAAGCUAAGCAUAACUCCAACUCCAGACACGCUAGGGGGCUACUAAAGGUGCAAUACGGUAGGGGUGUCUUCUGGGUGGGAAGCCUGGUAGCAGGCCUGCCUUAGGACCCAAGAGGCCAAGUGGAGGAUCGGUGCAGUAGGGCAGCUCAGGAGCCCAGAUAAGGACUAUGAGAGCAUCUUGGCAGGCAAGCUAAGAUGGCAGUGGUAUGAGAUCUGAUGGAUUCCUUGUAAACCUAGCCCUUGCCACCUAUAUAAGGAGGGGCUCGGGGUUGUCAUUCACAUAUACUCUCAUAGACUAUACUCUCUGUAGCAUUAUACUUCAUCUCCACUCUAAACCCCUCGCACAAGGUGCUCCACCAUGAAUAAAAAUCAGAUACAGGAAGUUGGGCAUUACCUCUCACCGAGGGCCGGAACCAAGGUAAAAACCUUUGUGUGAACUCCCUUGUCAUGGAUCCCUACAAGUUCACCACCCUACUAUGGUACUCACGGUUUUACAUACUAUCACAUAGUUAAGUUCUGACACAUUUUCUCUGGGGAGUUGAAACAACUCAUGGUGUAAGUAGGUGUUGCUUGAAGCACUGAUUCUACUAGCACCUCCUUUCCCGCCUUCGAGAUACCUUGUCCUUCCUAUCCAACCACUUUGCCAUUUGAGCUUUCUUUAAGAUGUUUAAAAUUUCCCUCCUUUGACCUACCCACCACGGUUGGGAGCCCCAAAUAAUGCUCGCUCAAUGCCUUAGGAUCUGUGCAAAGAUAUUUACAACAACUUACUCCUCCUAUUUGCCUCACUUCCCAAAGAAUGUUGAGGCUUUUUGAAAAUUUCCCAUUUGUCCCGAGGCCCACUCGUAGUCAAUGAGGAUAUAUUUAAGGUUACAAAGUUGCCAUUUGACGGUUGAAGAAAUACUAUACUAUCAUCUGCAGAAAUAAGAUGGACUACAUGGGGGUUAGUGCUCCCAAAAGAUAUACCAUUGAUCUCUUUAUCUUUGAGCACUCAUGAGAAAGGCCAAAAAACUCGCAACAUAGAAAAUAAAAAAAAAAUAGGGAGACCAUGGGUCUCCUUGCCAAAGCCCUCUUCAUAGUAUAAAAAAAUACAAAACACACUCCUUUCAAUUUGAUAGAAAACCUGGCCGGGGUACCACACAUCAUAAUCAUCAAGAUCAACCUAUCUGAGAAACCAAGUGCCCUCAUCAUCAGAUCGAGGAAAAUCCAAACCACCCUCUUAUAGGCCUUCAUCCUGUAUAGUUUAAUUGCAAACAUUGGAUUUUUCUAUUUCUUGAAUGUACUUUGCUCCUGUGUGAUCAUUAUGGAUAGGACAACCUUCAAUCUCUUUGCUAGGCCUUUGAAGCAAUCUGACUGAGCGUGUUCAAUAAGUUGAUUGAUCCCAUUUGAGGAAGUAUCUCCAUUUAGGUAAUUUUGGGGAUUAGGACUAGAACCAUAUCACUAAAGUUUGGUGAAAUAACUCCAUUAAAAGAAUCAUUUAUUACUAUGCGUACAUCAUUUUUUAGAAAUAACUAGUGAAAUUGGUAAACAUAAGUGAGAGGUUGUCUUGCCCCUGUGCUCCAGUCAAAUUUAGAAUAGUGCAUUCUCAAUUUCUUCAUCCAUCACGUCUGUUUUCACCCUCUCCUCCAUAUCACUAGUCACACAGGGUCGGAUGUGAGCUAAGAUGUUGUCAGCAUCAGCAGAGGCUUCUGAAGAAAACAACUAAGCAUAGAAAUCGGCUGAAAUCUUCCCCAUCUCAUUGUCAGUAGUACAACUCGUGCCAUCCGCCCUCAUGUUUUGAUCGUCUUUCUUGAGAAAUUCCAGUAGGGAACAUUGCAUACACAUUAUUUGUUCCUGUGCACGAACCACAUGAAGCUAGGCUUCAAUCUCACUGGUCUUCAGCGAGGAUGUCUGGAUCCCAAUGAUCUACCCUUUCCAUCGAAGCUGGACCUUGUGCCUAGUUAUCUCACAACAUACCAGACAAAAUACAAAGCCACUUCAAUAUUUCAUAUCAUUGGUGACAUUGUUAUGCUUCCUGUAGAGCUCACUCUGGCCGGAAUUGUUAUCACAUGCACACUAUCAUGCCUCCAUCCAUGGGCAUCCACCUCUCCUCAAACGUUAAUGCCCUCUUCUUACUUUUGGUAAUGACUAGGUUUUCUAGCGCUCUAUUAACGAGCAAACCAUGGUCUCGUCCUCCAUGACAACAUGUUCAAUGGUUGUAUCCUACAAUGAAUGCACGACUUCAUCAUUGCAUGGACCCCUGUCCACAUGUACAUAAAGGAUCUCAUCCCGCUCCCUCUUAUUGUCCCAAGUGUACAGGUUGCUAGUAAAACAAAGUUUUGAAACACUAUUAUUGGCUACACUCUCCCUAAUGCGCUCCAUUUGUGUGAAACUCCUCAAGUAAUCUCCUAGUUGUUGUGAUUAAAAGAAUUCUUUGUUGAGCUAUCAUUGUAACAGAUAAAUGUAUUAUUAGGAUCCAGUCUCUCGGAGCCUCCCUUAGCUACACAAAUUUUCUUCAAUCUCUCUUCCUAUCAAUUAGCUUUAGGUUAUAAUCAUUGUGAUGCCUUUGGUAGUCACCAUCACCUUGCCUCAUCCUAUGAACAAAAGUGCCUCAUCUGCGUUGCUCUGAGGUAGAUGGUCAUCUUUCCCAAUGGCCUUGCACCCUUUCCCAUAUAGAUUUUUUUAUGUCUUGCUUCCUUUCAUGCUCCUUUCUCAUGUCCCACUUCCUUUUUAGAUUUAAAUCAUCCCUUAGUUCACAAUCAUGUCACAGAUCUUGCCUGCAUUGGUCCUCCCUGCACUUCAUCUUAGACAGUGACCCUCUACAAGACCAUCUCGAGGAUCCUCGUAGAGAGAGAGUCCACAGAGGGUGUAUAAUCAUUGUAUGACCUGCACGUAAAUGGACGGACAUGCAACGCUACAUGACCCAUCGCCCAUAGACGCCCUUGCUUGACCUAGUGCUCCCAAAACUAAAGUUCAUGCUUUCUUUCACCGGCCUCUACUUUGUUUUUGUCUGUGAGGAGCCAUGUCCAAGUUAUGCCCUCAACCAUUCACCCAACUAGGGUGAGGAAUCAUUUUGUGGUUCAAAUCAUCCGUCAACAUGUGCUAGUCUGUCGUAGUCAAUCCAAAAGAGAGGUAUCUUUACAAAUUGAAAAUCAAACAAGGUCCCCUCAUCUUUUGCUGAAGAGUGGAGAAAGAAGCCUCAGACUAGUGAAAGAAAUAUGAAAAUUCUAGCUCUAGGUCUGAGAUGGUUCCCCCAUAAAUCCAUCCUUCCUAACAUCACUCUUUACCACGCCACCAAGACAAUUCCCUAGAGCAUUCCCAAAAGUAUAUGAUCAUUUAUAUAGGGGAGGAUCUAUAAUUAUCACCCAUGGCUCCGUCAUACAAAACAUUAUCUUCGAUGACCUAGUUUCUUCAUCAUAAUCCUUCAAAAGUAUCGCAUUAAAACCAAAUUGCCACAUUCAAUUAUAUAGAGCGUGCUUUUAGACUCCUUUGUUAUGGAAUCUAAAGAACAAGAUAUUAUUUCUAAUGUGACUUAUUUGGGCUUCCUAGUAUAGUCCCAUGUAUGUUGCAUAGCCCUAGCAAACACGUUGAUGUUGAUUUGCUGGAGUGACCAUGCCUUUCCAACCACUGACCACCGAGUAGGCCUCGGUAGGUCUGGAAUCCUGAUCCUCAAACAUGAGAUCUAUUAGUUACUUUUGUUGUCAAGUUCAGGGCUCCUUGUUAAUUUGGUUGAGAGUUUAGCUGCCUCCCCUGAAGCAUUUCCAUCUGUCAGGGACUUUUGAAGGUUCUCAUCUUAACGAUCCUUGGUCACCAUGUUCACUUGAGCUGUCGAUUUACGCCACGCCUUCUCUCCCAUCAUCGCGCAAAGGAGUGGAAGCACCAAGACCAAUCAAUGUAGGAGUAUACAGUGUCAUCACCUCAUAGAUGAAUAAAAACCUAACCCUAGCACUACUUGUCGGUCGCCUAUAAUCGCCCUUAGUAUUUCUUUUCAUGUUGGGCCCGCCACUAGGUAUUUAUACCUGUGCUUCCAUUGGUACUUUUUUUGCGCUGGAGCCUUUCUGCUACAUUUGCCUUUCUACAAAGGCGGUCUUAUCCAAAUCAUAUAGUCUCCUCUAUCUAUAGGAAGCGAGGACAUUAGCUCUUCUUUUUUUCAAGGCAAAUACACUUGCUAGUGUUCAAGCGACAUCUAAAGAAGUCUUGUCACAUGUGAAGACGAGGCUAAGAGUGUGACACAUAUAGGUGCCAACUUGAAGAAUAAUGCAAAUUUCAGUAAAUAUGAAUAGCUCCAGGGGAACGAGCGCACAAAGGAAUCAGCCACCAUAUAUGGAUCAUUUCCAAAGAAACAAAGUCACAAAGAGAGAGACAAGACAUUAGCUUCUUUAUGGGGAACACAUACAUUUAAAUGUUGCCUUGCUCUCUGAUUAUUAACAAGAAAUAAUUUUUACUAAUAUAUUAUGUGUAAAUCUUGAUAGAUAUGGAAUGUAUUUUGGUCAGUAUGUUUUAAGGAAUCAUAUUAGUUUUUGGUAUGUUGAAAUUAGAAGAAGUUCAUGUGCCUUCAAGGCAUGUCAAGGUGUGUUGUUCCACCUCAAAAUUGGUACAUACUAAAUGGUUAUUCUCCCUACAUAUAGCCCCAAUUCUCAUGCUCUCUCUCUCUAUCUAUCUAUCUAUCUAUCUAUCUAUCUAUCUAUCUCUCUCUCUCUCUACAUUUUAUAUUCCAGACUACUCCAUAAAGCCUAAUUGGUGAAGGUCCAUAAACACCCAGCAAUGAUGGGUUCAACUCCCAUUAGUAGUAUAUACUUAGUGGAGGAGAAACAAGCCAAGCCCGCCAAUGGUGAAUAAAUCAGAAAAGAAAAUCAGGCCAUGCCCAAUCCAAAUCCGGCACCUGCCAACAAUGUGUAGUCUCCACUACUCGAACCUACUUUUCCUCAGUGUGUUACAUCAUGUGAUGUUUGGAGAAGCCAUAGAGUUGGGGAUCCAAAUAUAGAUAACAACAAUGGGGAGUGGCUUGAAGAAUAGGAGCCAAGAAGCCGGACGGACAAGGCCUCCACCAUGCUGUACCAUUGGCCGAUACUGACCCGUAUGGUGCAAGGACCGACGCAGAACUGAACACCGUCAUCAUCUAGGUUGCAAAGGAAGUUGGACCACUGUGUUUCUUCUCUCGGACAAACUCAAUGAUUUCAUGCAGUUGGCACCCACGCCACAUUCCACAGAGAUAACAACAUUGAGGAGGAGGAGGAGGGGCAACGCAAGGUUUCUUCCUCAUAGGAAUUACUUUCGAGGAAGUGAGGGGACGGUAUGGCAUGAUGAGUAGUUAACAAGGGAAGUUUGCAUGACUGCGGCGGACAAAUCAUGAAGACAAGUGUGCUAGUAGCUAGAUAAGGGAUGAAUGAUAGCAGGAAGGAAUAAUGAGCUUACUGGGUGAGGCUACUAUUUUUUAAGUUGCGACCUACUGAUCAUAACAACAAUUGAUCGUAACAACGUACCAUUGAUGAUAUAGGGUAUUGAUUUAGUAACUGUUACGAUGUGACUAGGGCUUGUAAGCGGUGGGUUGUAUAUUACUAACAAGUAGCAUGUUUAGCCUCGAUAUUGUCCUCUGUCACUCGUAACAACGUACCAUUGACGGACCCCGUCACUACUACCUUUUUCCAACAAAAAUAGAAUUUUAGUUAUAGUAAGAUUCACAACAAUCCCGCCGGCCAUCAGUGCUAAGUUGCCUGCUGACGGGUUUUUUGACCCACCACUUUUGAUCGAUAACUAGGCGAGAACUCUAGUCUGGUGCACAUUUGUUUUGUUCAGAAUUUUUAGUGUUUUUAUGUGUACAAAGACAUAUAUUUCAACCCUAACAGGUUCUCUUUAGGUGGGGUCGAGAGUGAAGGACUGGGGAGCUUGGAAGCAGGGGAAAUGGCACCUCGAGGGGUUCAGGUCUCUAUGAUCAAUAACCACAAUUUUGAUCUGAAUGAGCUGCCGACUGAGCAUGAGUAGCUCAGGAAGGAGUAGUCACCUCUGGAGCAAGAGUAGCCUCCUAUGGCACAACAUGAGGUUUAAUAUUCACAAUGGUUGGAGGCUACUCAAAUCCCUCUUGUGUGAGCAAAGUUAACUCUUGGACCAAAGUGUAGCCCUGUUAGAAAUUAUCGAAACAAUAUCAUUAUCCCAAGGACGAUUGUAAAGCUUAUGUGGAACUUUUGAAUUUCUCGCUUCCUAUUUUUUGUUGAUUUACUGACGCUAUUGCUGAACUUGAGGGAAGGACUUGGUAUACUGCUUCAUGAUCAACGUGUCAACUGGAAAUGGCUUUUCUAUUCAUUUCCCGUGAUGGUUUUGAUAUGUGGAUUGUUUGAACAAGCAGGUGUUCAUUCGGUAAAGCUUUGUGAAACAACAACGGUGGAGCUAGGUCUCUGGUCAUGUGAAAUGACAGUAGGUCAAGAAGUGUGUUGGAUCAUGAGAUAACAUAUUUUCUAAGUUGUUAAUCAUGUGUGUUAACACCAUGGGUAGUAUGAGAGAAGGUCAACAUGCAUGUUUGGGUCUGAAAUGACCUCAUGACCAAAAAAGGGAGAGAAA
rnacentral:lncRNA from 1 species